UAGCCAGUCACGGCAAACACCAAAGGGC
rnacentral:piRNA from 1 species